AGAUAAAAAAUAGAAGCUUGCUAGCAAUAGAAAGAGAGAGAAGGAGAGAGAGAGAGAGAGAGAGGUACAAGACGUAUCUUCGUUCUAUAGAUAAAAAGGACAAAGAAACGUUCGAGGUCAGGAGGGAAGGUCGUCGAAGGCGCGAGAAUACAAACGUCGGAUCGGUGAUUCUCGGAAGAAGAAAGAUUACUAGAAGAAUCUCGGUGGUGGGGGAGGUUUGACGCGUGGAAAGUAGGAGGCUACGUUCGGUUCCAGUCGGUCGCACGAAGCGUGAAGGGUUCGAACGGUAGAAGUAACGGGGAGAAACGGAGGAGCUUGAAAGCUCGGAUCAUUUAGUUGGAAGAGGAGAGAAUGAAAAAAAAAAAAAAAAAAGGGAGGACGACGAUCGUGUUCUUACGAGAGUACGAAAAGACGUUUCAAGUCCUUGAUAAAAACGAAGGGAGCCAACCAAAGGGAGAAUAGUAAUAAAACGCAAAAAAGAAAAAAAAAAGGAUAAAAAUAAAAUAAAAUUUCAAGAAGUCCGAGGAAGAUAAUUUCGUCGAAAGUAACAUUAUAGUCACAUGUUAGGAUUAUUAAAAUGAUUUUCUUUAUAAAGUCAUACGAUACCUCGAUUCUAUCCUCCAAGAAUUAAGGUGUCUACGCCAAUGGCUGCAUAAAGGGGGAACGCGGCACCUCGGUAUUCAGCGGUUCUCAUUUCUCGUCCUUUUGUUAAUGCCUGACACCACCAAGUCUUUUCCCAGGCCACUUCGUGUCUCUGAUAGUCAGAAGAUAUGGUUGAGCUCGUCGUUGCUUCUCGAGAACCACGGUUUAGUGUCGUCUCUCUUACUCUGGUAAGUCCUAGUCCGAUGAUCUAUUCUUCGAGGAUGCUGUAUUUCGAUCACCGAACGUCGUUUCUACGGAAACAAUUGAAAUCUUGUAUAUGUCAAGUAAAAACGAAUUAUUUUGUUUUAUUAUUCGUGAUUUGAAACUCUCGACGAUGGAUAUGUAAAUAUAUAUCAAGUGUAUUCAAAUAUUUAGAACAUUGUGGUUCUGCCGAAAUAUAACUGAGUACAUCGAUUAUUUUUUUUUCUUUUUUUUUUUUUAUAUAGGAAAACAAUGUUGAAAAUUAAUAAACAAACAAAAGAGUGAUGUCAAUAUUAUUUCAUCGAUUAAAUUGACUCGUUCGAUGGUAUUUAACUAUAGGAGAAUGUUCAUAAUUCGUUUGUUAUGUUUUACCGAUAAUAAAAUAUGUCGAGCACUGUUUUCCAGGAAGUUCUUUUACCGAGAAGAGAUUUGUUUAACCAACGACGGUAAUUCAGUUACGUGUGAGCGUGAUACCAAGUAACGCACGGUCAUCGUCGUCAUCGUCGUCGUCUAGUCGUCGAAACAUAUACCAAGUGUUCACGUAUAAGGAGGGAACUAACAAUAAAGAAGAGUAACGUACGAUGUCAUUUCUAAGCAGAGAUUCUCAUAAACUACUACAAAACGUGAAACGUAGAAAGAUUCACGAAAAAUAAAAACGAAAAAAGGGAAAAUGGUGUUCGAAAUGAAUGAAGGAAAAAUUCGUUUGUCUGUGUGUAACCAAUCGAAUGUAUUUUUUUUUUCUUUAUUGUUGUUGUCGGUAAAUCAUUUUUCUCUCGUGAUCGAAAGCCGUCGAACGAGUUCAGACGCAUUGGGAUUACUCGUUGAUGAAUUUUUUUUCACGCUCCAAUCUCUCGCACAUAAAAAGGCUCGUUAUAUCUGGUAACUCCUCUGGGAAAAGGAAAAUUUUUGUCGUGUGGUGUAUAUUUUGUGUAACGUGAACUCUUCGAGAGUGAGAGAGAGAGAAAGAGAGAGAGAGAGAGAGAGAGAGAGAGAGAGACGAGUUGAUACUUUGGGUCGAAGGUUGAAAAGGGUAACUCGUGCGCUCGCCUACGCCUCGACGAGCCACGCGUCCUUCUCGUUUUGUCCCUUCCAGCGAGAUCUUUUUCUUUAUCCUUCCACACGUAUUUCCUUCUUAAAAAGGACGGUGAAAGAAGCUCGUUGCUUUAACAGCGGAGACCUUCGUUGGAACAUUCGAAUAAGAUUUUUGAAAUUUAAUCCUGUCGAGUGGAUAGUAGUUAUCUUUCUU